rnacentral:lncRNA from 1 species
CUGGCCUUAAUAGCUGUAUUCUAACUUUGGGUUAAGGCAGUAUUAAUGGAUGACAUUAUUAUGACCACGUAAUAUAAUUCAUUGAAUACCCUCAAGUAAACUUCUAAGAAAACUACAGAUUUGGAGCUUCAAAUGCCUUGGUGAAGUUUCUAAGAACUUGGAUGUCUAAAAAGUAACUUGUGGUUCAAAAAGAGCAAUUAUAAAAAUGGCAAAGCCAUGACCAAUCACAAUCUCUCCUUUGAUGAGACUGUGGCUGAUGCUCUAUACCAGUGAUCCAUGGAUUCCCUGCUUGAUUACACAGAACAGGGCAGGAAAUUAUCCAACUUGCAAGAGAAUGCUAGCUGAAAAUCGUCCCAUCUUAUGGAAAACCGGUAGAAAAUCCAGGAGGUGAAAUGGAGAACAUGUUCAACUGGAGAAUUCUAUUUCUUAUGCAUGUCAAAUAUGUUUCCUUCUCCUGCACUAGCUGUUCCUUCUGCUGGAAGAAUAUUUAUAUGACUGGCUAAACUUACUGUUCAGAUCUGAGAGUAAAUUUGCAUUUCUCAGAGAGUUAGUUCCUGACCACCCAACUCAAAGUACUAACACUCUAUCUAGUCCUUUUCUUGUUUGUUUUUCAUGUUUAUUUUAUUUCCCACCACUAGAAUCUAAGCUUUUUGAGAGCCGGCACUUUGUCCAUCUGGGUCACUGAAUCCCAAUGAGUUAUUCACAGAUGUUUUUAGUACAUAGUAGGUGAAAUGCAUAGAUAAUAUUUCAACUAAGAAAGUGAACAGAAGAAAGUUGGUCAUUGACUUAUUACUAGUAGCUCACUACUCUCUAUGUAUGAAGACAUCACUUACUGAUGGUUAUGAAGCAGAUGCUCAAUAAUUUUUUUUUAAUAAACAGGAGGGCAAGGAGCCAAUGUCGUUUGUAGUGGAGGGUAGUCAUGGACACUGAGAGUAUGUUUUAGACACAAUUUAUCAAUGGCCAGCCUCAGGCUGAGAUAAAAUAUAACAGAGUUUGCCAAGGUCUUUCAUGCCCAGGCAGUCAGUGCUCACAUGUUCCCUGUAACUGCCUGGGUACCUUUCCCUGAGUCAUCAGUCCUGUGUCUUAAUUCUUUUAGUAGCACCUGCAUUCUGCUCCUUUAACCUUCCAUCAAUCAGCUCUUAUAUACUGUACAUCUCUUUCUCAAGAAGCCUUGUGCAACGCAUGGUGAUUUCAACAGUGAUGAAUAUUUCCUUCCCUCUGACUUCUUAUGAAACCAGGAUAAUGAAGCAAAUUAGAAUGUAUUUUAACAUCACUCUCCCUUGUUUGCUGUCCAGCUAAUGAACAGUGGACUGGCUGAAGAAAGACCAGCAUGAAGCAGAAAAAUUGUUUGGUGAAAAAUUCAAGAAUGGGCCAAUAUCCAUUAAAAGAUUGAAAGAGGAGAUGUUUUGGGUCCACCUCCACUGGGGACAGAAAUUCCAUUCUGCCAACACCCCCUCCAUAUCCAUUGUCUGAAAGAGGCACUGCUGUUGAGUCAUAAGUAGGCUCCAGUGGCCCAUGUUGACCCUUUGAAAUUCCCAUGGGACUGUCAAUUCUAUCUAUUCUGGGAGCAGCCAACCAUAGCUAAUUACAGGCCUGUGGUAUUAGUGGAACAAGCUUCAGCUUUUUACAUUGGCUUGAUGGAGAACUGAGUAGAUAUAAAAGUGUUACAUGUUUUUCUGUAAUCAUAAUAACGUAAUCUUGUUUCAUAAUCAUUAAUAAUUCCUAACAUUUAUUGAAGAGUUAAUAUGUGUUGAGUAUUUUUGUAAGUGCUUAACAUGCAGUUUUUAAAAUUUUAACUCCUUUUUACAGAAAAGGUUUACAGAACGCCAGAGGGGUAGGUGAUUUUGCCAGAGCUCUUUUAGGUAAUAGGAAACAAAGCCAUAAAUUUGAUCCCAGCUAGUUUGACCCCAUAGUCCAAGCAUUAAUCCCUGAACCACACUAGCUCUGGCAAGGGUAUAAAUGAGCAGUGAUUACUAACUGACUUAAAACACAAUAGGAAUUAUCCCCAGUGAAUUCCAACAUAUAAAGGGACACUAAUUCUUGCCAUAGAAAAUCUAUUUGAUAAGUAUGAACAAGAAUUCCAAGGUUAUCAAAAAUAAUUUCUAAUAGUUUAAUUCUUUAAAAGAAAUGGUGUAUCUCAUGGACACAGGAAGGGGAACAUCACACUCCGGGGACUGUUGUUGGGUGGGGGGAGCGGGGAGGGAGAGCAUUAGGAGAUAUACCUAAUGCUAAAUGACAAGUUAAUGGGUGCAGCACACCAACGUGGCACAUGUAUACAUAUGUAACAAACCUGCACAUUGUGCAAAUGUACCC